AGAGUUUGAUCAUGGCUCAGAAUCAACGCUGGCGGCGCGCUUAACACAUGCAAGUCGCACGAGAAAGCAGGAGCAAUCUUGUGAGUAAAGUGGCGUACGGGUGAGUAACACGUGGAUCAUCUACCUUCUAGUGGGGCAUACCUCUGGGAAACCGGAGAUAAUUCCGCAUAAGCUCGUGAGAGGAAAGCAGCAAUGCGCUGGAAGAGGAGUCCGCGGCUGAUUAGCUAGAUGGCGGGGUAACGGCCCACCAUGGCGAAGAUCGGUAGCCGGCCUGAGAGGGCACACGGCCACACUGGCACUGAAACACGGGCCAGACUCCUACGGGAGGCAGCAGUGGGGAAUCUUGCACAAUGGAGGCAACUCUGAUGCAGCGACGCCGCGUGAGCGAUGAAGCCCUUCGGGGUGUAAAGCUCUUUCGACGGGAAAGAUGAUGACGGUACCCGGAGAAGAAGCUGCGGCUAACUACGUGCCAGCAGCCGCGGUAAUACGUAGGCAGCGAGCGUUGUUCGGAAUUACUGGGCGUAAAGAGUGUGUAGGCGGUGUUCCAAGUCUGGUGUGAAAUCUCCCGGCUUAACUGGGAGGGUGCGCCGGAAACUGGAAUGCUCGAGGGUGGGAGAGGUAAGCGGAAUUCCUGGUGUAGCGGUGAAAUGCGUAGAUAUCAGGAGGAACACCUGUGGUGUAGACAGCUUACUGGACCACUUCUGACGCUGAGACACGAAAGCGUGGGUAGCAAACAGGAUUAGAUACCCUAGUAGUCC
rnacentral:rRNA from 1 species